rnacentral:rRNA from 1 species
UGGCUCAGAUUGAACGCUGGCGGCAGGCCUAACACAUGCAAGUCGAACGGUAACAGGAAGCAGCUUGCUGCUUCGCUGACGAGUGGCGGACGGGUGAGUAAUGUCUGGGAAGCUGCCUGAUGGAGGGGGAUAACUACUGGAAACGGUAGCUAAUACCGCAUAAUGUCGCAAGACCAAAGAGGGGACCUUCGGGCCUCUUGCCAUCGGAUGUGCCCAGAUGGGAUUAGCUUGUUGGUGGGGUAACGGCUCACCAAGGCGACGAUCCCUAGCUGGUCUGAGAGGAUGACCGGCCACACUGGAACUGAGACACGGUCCAGACUCCUACGGGAGGCAGCAGAAGGG